rnacentral:rRNA from 1 species
UACGGAGGGGGCUAGCGUUGUUCGGAAUUACUGGGCGUAAAGCGCACGUAGGCGGCUUUGUAAGUUAGAGGUGAAAGCCCGGGGCUCAACCCCGGAACUGCCUUUAAGACUGCAUCGCUUGAAUCCAGGAGAGGUGAGUGGAAUUCCGAGUGUAGAGGUGAAAUUCGUAGAUAUUCGGAAGAACACCAGUGGCGAAGGCGACUCACUGGACAUGUAUUGACGCUGAGGUGCGAAAGCGUGGGGAGCAAACAGG